GCUGCGGGACACAGGGCACGGGUGGCACCCAGAGAGGGCAUGGGGGGCACCCACAGCGGGCAGGUGGCACUCGGAAGGGCACAGGUGGCACUCAGAAGGGGGCAGAUGGCACUCAGAGGGGGCAGGUGGCACUCAGAGGGGCACAGGUGGCACUCGGAAGGGCAGAAGGGGGCAGGUGGCACUCAGAAGGGCAGAGGUAGCACUCAGAAGGGGGCAGAUGGCACUCAGAGGGGGCAGGUGGCACUCAGAGGGGCACAGGUGGCACUCGGAAGGGCAGAGGUAGCACUCAGAAGGGCACAGGUGGCACUCAGAAGAGCAGAGGUGACACCCAGAGGGGGCAGUUGCACUCAGAAGGGCACAGGUGGCACCCAGAUGGGCAAGGGUGGCACUCAGAAGGAGGCAGGUGGCACUCAGAGAGGGCAGAGGUGGCACCCAGAGGGCCAAGGGUGGCACCCAGAAGGAGCAGGUGACACCUAAAACUAACAGUGCAGCACCAAAGGGGAUAAAGGCGGCACUGAAAGGUGACAGGUGACACCCAAAGGUGGCGAGUGACAACUAAAGGUGAAGGUGUGGCACUCAGAGUGAGUGGCAAUCAUGGGGCAUCCAUGGGGCACAGGUGAGGUCCCCUCCCCUAGGUGACACAGCCCCUCCCCCAGGUGAUGUCCCCUCCCCCAGGUGACCCAGGUGAUGUCCCCUCCCCAGGUGACCCCACUCACGUUGUCGGGGUCGAACACGAGGGGGUGGGGGCAGCGCUUGGGCCCCGACCAGAACAGGGUCCCCGAGUUCGUUUUCUGGGGGGGAAAAGGGAAAAAAUCAGCGUUAAUGAGGUCAUUAAUUGAGCUUAAUGAGCUAUUAAUUGGAGUGACUGAGCCGACUGUUUAGAUUAACAAUGUAUUAAUUAGAUUAAUGAGAUAAUCGAGGGGUGCUCCCCUGUCCUGGUGAAUAUUGGGGUAAAUGAGAUUGGGGUAAAUAAAGUAAUUAAUUGGGUUAAUAAGGUAA